rnacentral:rRNA from 1 species
ACGGGUGAGUAAUGUCUGGGAAACUGCCUGAUGGAGGGGGAUAACUACUGGAAACGGUAGCUAAUACCGCAUAACGUCGCAAGACCAAAGAGGGGGACCUUCGGGCCUCUUGCCAUCAGAUGUGCCCAGAUGGGAUUAGCUAGUAGGUGGGGUAACGGCUCCCUAGGCGACGAUCCCUAGCUGGUCUGAGAGGAUGACCAGCCACACUGGAACUGACACGGUCCAGACUCCUACGGGAGGCAGCAGUGGGGAAUAUUGCACAAUGGGCGCAAGCCUGAUGCAGCCAUGCCGCGUGUAUGAAGAAGGCCUUCGGGUUGUAAAGUAUUUCAGCGGGGAGGAAGGUGUUGUGGUUAAUAACCACAGCAAUUGACGUUACCCGAGAAGAAGCACCGGCUAACUCCGUGCCAGCAGCCGCGGUAAUACGGAGGGUGCAAGCGUUAAUCGGAAUUACUGGGCGUAAAGCGCACGCAGGCGGUCUGUCAAGUCGAUGUGAAAUCCCCGGGCUCAACCUGGGAACUGCAUUCGAAACUGGCAGGCUGGAGUCUUGUAGAGGGGGGUAGAAUUCCAGGUGUAGCGGUGAAAUGCGUAGAGAUCUGAGGAAUACCGGUGGCGAAGGCGGCCCCCUGGACAAAGACUGACGCUCAGGUGCGAAAGCGUGGGGAGCAAACAGGAUUAGAUACCCUGGUAGUCCACGCCGUAAACGAUGUCGAUUUGGAGGUUGUGCCCUUGAGGCGUGGCUUCCGGAGCUAACGCGUUAAAUCGACCGCCUGGGGAGUACGGCCGCAAGGUUAAAACUCAAAUGAAUUGACGGGGGCCCGCACAAGCGGUGGAGCAUGUGGUUUAAUUCGAUGCAACGCGAAGAACCUUACCUGGUCUUGACAUCCACAGAACUUUCCAGAGAUGGAUUGGUGCCUUCGGGAACUGUGAGACAGGUGCUGCAUGGCUGUCGUCAGCUCGUGUUGUGAAAUGUUGGGUUAAGUCCCGCAACGAGCGCAACCCUUAUCCUUUGUUGCCAGCGGUUAGGCCGGGAACUCAAAGGAGACUGCCAGUGAUAAACUGGAGGAAGGUGGGGAUGACGUCAAGUCAUCAUGGCCCUUACGACCAGGGCUACACACGUGCUACAAUGGCGCAUACAAAGAGAAGCGACCUCGCGAGAGCAAGCGGACCUCAUAAAGUGCGUCGUAGUCCGGAUUGGAGUCUGCAACUCGACUCCAUGAAGUCGGAAUCGCUAGUAAUCGUAGAUCAGAAUGCUACGGUGAAUACGUUCCCGGGCCUUGUACACACCGCCCGUCACACCAUGGG